GGUUUUUUGAAUUUAACUAGAAAAUCAGGCCUGCCCACUGAUAAAGGGCUGCAGUAUUUUGACUGUACAAAGGUAGCAUAAUCAUUAGUCUUUUAAUUAGGGACUGGUAUGAAAGGUUAGACGGGGAUAAGCUGUCUCAAAUAUAAAAAUAAAUUUUAUUUUUAAGGAAAAGAGCUUAAAUCUUUCAAAGGGACGAGAAGACCCUAUUAAAUUUGAUAUAAUGAAUUAUUUUUAAUUAUAUAAAAGGAGUAAGUAGGUAUUAAUUUUACUGGGGCGGUGUGUUUAUAACUUUAUUAUUAUUUAAUUUAUUAAAUAGCGGGCUUUUGAUCCGAGGAGAUUGAUAUUAGAUAAAAUUACUAUAGGGAUAACAGCGUGAUAUUUUUUGAGAGUUCUUAUUGACAAGAAUGUUUGCGACCUCGAUGUUGGAUUAAGAAGUCUUAUUGGUGCAGUAGUUUUUGAAGAGGGUCUGUUCGACCUUUAAAUUCUU
rnacentral:rRNA from 1 species